UCCCGACUGGUGUAGUGGUUAGCAUUUCCGCUUUUCAAACGAAGAACUAUCUUUCCAGCAAAGCAGUCUUCAAGAAAAACGCGGGAGACCGGGGUUCAAUUCCCCGGUCGGGAA